GUCCUUGUUUUAGCAGCACAUAUACUUAUACUGGAACAAUACAGAGAUGAUUAGCAUAACCUCUGUGCAAGGAUGACAUGCAAAUCUGUGAAGUGUCUCAUAUUUGU